UACGGAGGAUGCAAGCGUUAUCCGGAAUGAUUGGGCGUAAAGCGUCCGCAGGUGGCAAUGUAAGUCUGCUGUUAAAGAGUCUAGCUCAACUAGAUAAAAGCAGUGGAAACUACAUAGCUAGAGUACGUUCGGGGCAGAGGGAAUUCCUGGUGUAGCGGUGAAAUGCGUAGAGAUCAGGAAGAACACCGGUGGCGAAGGCGCUCUGUUAGGCCGUAACUGACACUGAGGGACGAAAGCUAGGGGAGCGAAUGGG
rnacentral:rRNA from 1 species